AAACACUCGAUUCCAUCCCGAACUCGACCGUUAAGCACCGUUGCGCCGAUGGUACUGCAUCUUAAGAUGUGGGAGAGUAGGUAACCGCCA
rnacentral:rRNA from 1 species